GUGGGGAAUAUUGGACAAUGGGGGGAACCCUGAUCCAGCCAUGCCGCGUGUGUGAAGAAGGCCUUUUGGUUGUAAAGCACUUUAAGCGAGGAGGAGGCUACCGAGAUUAAUACUCUUGGAUAGUGGACGUUACUCGCAGAAUAGCACCGGCUAACUCUGUGCCAGCAGCCGCGGUAAUACAGAGGGUGCAAGCGUUAAUCGGAUUUACUGGGCGUAAAGCGCGCGUAGGUGGCCAAUUAAGUCAAAUGUGAAAUCCCCGAGCUUAACUUGGGAAUUGCAUUCGAUACUGGUUGGCUAGAGUAUGGGAGAGGAUGGUAGAAUUCCAGGUGUAGCGGUGAAAUGCGUAGAGAUCUGGAGGAAUACCGAUGGCGAAGGCAGCCAUCUGGCCUAAUACUGACACUGAGGUGCGAAAGCAUGGGGAGCAAACAGGAUUAGAAACCCCAGUAGUCC
rnacentral:rRNA from 1 species